UACGUAGGGUGCGAGCGUUGUCCGGAAUUACUGGGCGUAAAGAGCUCGUAGGUGGUUUGUCGCGUUGUUCGUGAAAACCGGGGGCUUAACCCUCGGCGUGCGGGCGAUACGGGCAGACGUGGAGUACUGCAGGGGAGACUGGAAUUCCUGGUGUAGCGGUGGAAUGCGCAGAUAUCAGGAGGAACACCGGUGGCGAAGGCGGGUCUCUGGGCCGAUACUGACGCUGAGGAGCGAAAGCGUGGGGAGCGAACAGG
rnacentral:rRNA from 1 species